GUCAAAAGAUAUUUUUGAUAUUUAUCUUGCGAAGGGAAACCAAUGUUAAAGAGAAAAAGUUGAGGGCUAAUUUCUUUUAUCUCCUUAAAAAUAGAAUUAAUAAGGCCAAGCAUUUGAAUUUUUAUAUUAUCAAGACCCUGACACUCCCACCAUAUAUGAUAAAUAGUGCCCUCUUCAUUUCCACAUCUCCAACAAUUCUUAGAAUGUACAG